rnacentral:rRNA from 2 species
UGCUCUGACCUCGGAUCAGGUA